rnacentral:rRNA from 1 species
UAGUAACGGCGAGUGAAGAGGAAAGAGCUCAAAGUUGGAACCUGUUUGGCUUAGCUAAACCGGAUUGUAAACUGUAGAAGUGUUUUCCAGACACGCCUGGUAAAAAAGUCCUUUGGAACAGGGCAUCAUAGAGGGUGAGAAUCCCGUCAUUGGCCAGAGCUGUUGUCUUUUGUGAUACAUUUUCAAAGAGUCAGGUUGUUUGGGAAUGCAGCCUAAAUUGGGUGGUAAAUCUCACCUAAAGCUAAAUAUUUGCGAGAGACCGAUAGCGAACAAGUACCGUGAGGGAAAGAUGAAAAGAACUUUGAAAAGAGAGUUAAACAGUAUGUGAAAUUGUUAAAAGGGAACCGUUUGGAGCCAGACUGGCUUGAUCGUAAUCACUCUAGGCUUUGGCCUGGAUGCACUUGCGGUCUAUGCCGGCCAACGACAGUUUUGUUUGAGGGAAAAAAUUACAUUGAAUGUGGCCCUUCGGGGUGUUAUAGCUUUGUAAAAAAUACCUUGGACGGGACUGAGGAACGCAGCGAAUGCCUUUAGGCGAGAUUGCUGGGUGCUUGCGCUGAUACAUGCUAGAAUUUCUGCUUCGGGUGGUGCUAGUGUGUAAAGGAGUAACCCGCUUAGUAUAUUUUUUAUUCGCUUAGGUUGUUGGCUUAAUGACUCUAAAUGACCCGUCUUGAAACACGGACCAAGGAGUCCACCAUUAGUGCAAGUAUUUGGGUGACAAACCCAUAUGCGCAAGGAAACUGAUUGAUACGAAGGCGCAAGCUGGCAGUAUCACCCGGCGUUGACGUUUUAUACUGAACUGACCGAGGUAAAGCACUAAUGAUGGGACCCGAAAGAUGGUGAACUAUGCCUGAAUAGGGUGAAGCCGGAGGAAACUCCGGUGGAGGCUCGUAGCGAUUCUGACGUGCAAAUCGAUCGUCAAAUUUGGGUAUAGGGGCGAAAGACUAAUCGACC